GAUGAAGAACGUAGCGAAAUGCGAUAAGUAAUGUGAAUUGCAGAAUUCAGUGAAUCAUCGAAUCUUUGAACGCACCUUGCGCUCCUUGGUAUUCCGAGGAGCAUGCCUGUUUGAGUGUCAUUGUACUCUCACACUCCCACUCUUUUGGAUUGGGAGCGGUGGACUUGGGUGUUGCUGCUUCACUGUGGCUCGCCUCAAAUGGAGUAGUGCAACUCUCGGUUGGACAUAGUACGGCGUGAUAAGUGUCUUCGCCGGCGCCUCACUAGAGGGUGGCCGAUCGGGAGCUCUGUGCUUCAAACCGUCUUCGGACAAUCUCUGACAACUUGACCUCAAAUCGAGUAGGACUACCCGCUGAACUUAAGCAUAUCAAUAAGCGGAGGA
rnacentral:misc_RNA from 1 species